rnacentral:lncRNA from 1 species
UCUGUUCUGUCAGACAUGGAGGGGCAAGACCAAAUGUCUGUAGAUAUCUGCAUCUGGGUUUUUCUCACCAUUCUACGUGGGAAAACUUGUCCUCCCAAACACAGAAACACAUUGAGAGAUGCAUGCAUACAUUUAAAUGAGAACUAAGAAUGCGAUGCAGUGAGCAGCAGCUUAAAACUCCUUUUAUCUUUUGCUUGUGUUAAUUUGCGCAGUCCGUCUUUCUGGAGGAACAUUGGAAACUAACGCUCCUUUUAGACCGAUGAAGAACUGCAGUGUUUUAGUGCCUUCUUGUGUUGUUGCCUGGAAGUGCAGUUGUGUUAUAGACUUAAUUGGAGCCUUCCUCCACCCAGACAGCAGAAUACCGGGCUUAGAGAAAUCUGGGAUGAGAAGACAGAUAAAAUCUGAUGUCUUUGCUUUUCAACAAACUUUGACUCAUUUCUGUGACUAAAUGUUUCAGCAAAGGAAUUACGCUAUCAUUUUCACAAUUCUGACAGAUUAUCUUCUUGUGAGAAUUGAUUUUAGAAAGCAGCUUAUUUUUACUGACUUUAUGUAUUUGUUUACGUCUCCCUCAAAAAAUAAAAACUGGAA